GACGAACGCUGGCGGCGUGCUUAACACAUGCAAGUCGAACGGAAAGGCCCUGCUUUUGUGGGGUGCUCGAGUGGCGAACGGGUGAGUAACACGUGGGUAACCUGCCCUUGACUUUGGGAUAACUUCAGGAAACUGGGGCUAAUACCGGAUAGGAGCUCCUGCUGCAUGGUGGGGGUUGGAAAGUUUCGGCGGUUGGGGAUGGACUCGCGGCUUAUCAGCUUGUUGGUGGGGUAGUGGCUUACCAAGGCUUUGACGGGUAGCCGGCCUGAGAGGGUGACCGGCCACAUUGGGACUGAGAUACGGCCCAGACUCCUACGGGAGGCAGCAGUGGGGAAUAUUGCACAAUGGGCGGAAGCCUGAUGCAGCAACGCCGCGUGCGGGAUGACGGCCUUCGGGUUGUAAACCGCUUUCGCCUGUGACGAAGCGUGAGUGACGGUAAUGGGUAAAGAAGUACCGGCUAACUACGUG
rnacentral:rRNA from 1 species